UUGCAGGCUGCAACUCGCCCUGCAUGAAGUCGGAAUUGCUAGUAAUCGUAGGUCAGCAUACUACGGUGAAUACGUUCCCGGGCCUUGUACACACCGCCCGUCAAACCAUGAGAGUUGGCAACACCCGAAGUCGGUAGUCUAACCGCAAGGAGGACGCCGCCGAAGGUGGGGUUGAUGAUUAGGGUUAAGUCGUAACAAGGUAAC
rnacentral:rRNA from 1 species